rnacentral:rRNA from 1 species
AGCGAACGCUGGCGGCAGGCUUAACACAUGCAAGUCGAGCGGGCACUUCGGUGUCAGCGGCAGACGGGUGAGUAACACGUGGGAACGUACCCUUCGGUUCGGAAUAACGCUGGGAAACUAGCGCUAAUACCGGAUACGCCCUUUUGUGGAAAGGUUUACUGCCGAAGGAUCGGCCCGCGUCUGAUUAGCUAGUUGGUGGGGUAAUGGCCUACCAAGGCGACGAUCAGUAGCUGGUCUGAGAGGAUGAUCAGCCACACUGGGACUGAGACACGGCCCAGACUCCUACGGGAGGCAGCAGUGGGGAAUAUUGGACAAUGGGCGCAAGCCUGAUCCAGCCAUGCCGCGUGAGUGAUGAAGGCCUUAGGGUUGUAAAGCUCUUUUGUCCGGGACGAUAAUGACGGUACCGGAAGAAUAAGCCCCGGCUAACUUCGUG